rnacentral:rRNA from 1 species
CCUACGGGGCGCAGCAGUGGGGAAUAUUGCACAAUGGGGGAAACCCUGAUGCAGCGACGCCGCGUGAGUGAAGAAGUAUUUCGGUAUGUAAAGCUCUGUCAGCAGGGAAGAAAAUGACGGUACCUGACCAAGAAGCCCCGGCUAACUACGUGCCAGCAGCCGCGGUAAUACGUAGGGGGCAAGCGUUAUCCGGAUUUCCUGGGGGUAAAGGGAGCGGAGACGGCAGGGCAAGUCUGGAGUGAAAGGCGGGGGCUCAACCCCCGGAGUGCUCUGGAAACUGCCAGGCUGGAGGGCAGGAGAGGUAAGUGGAAUUCCGAGUGUAGCGGUGAAAUGCGUAGAUAUUAGGAGGAACACCAGUGGCGAAGGCGGCUUACUGGACUGUAACUGACGUUGAGGCUCGAAAGCGUGGGGAGCAAACAGGAUUAGAUACCCUAGUAGUC